rnacentral:rRNA from 1 species
AGUGAACGCUGGCGGCGUGCCUAAUACAUGCAAGUCGAACGGAGUGGCGCACGGGUGAGUAAUGUAUAGCUAAUCUGCCCUCCACUAGAGGACAACAGUUGGAAACGACUGCUAAUACUCUCUAUUGUAGGAUGAGGGUAUAUUGUAUCAGCUAGUUGGUGAGGUAAUGGCUCACCAAGGCGAUGACGAAUAACUGGUCUGAGAGGAUGGGCAGUAGACCUGGAACUGAGACACGAGUGAGAAACCUACGACAAGGAGCAGUAGGGAAAAGUGCCCAAGGGGGGAAUGUGUAGAGGAGCAUCGGCGCGUGGAGGAUGAUAAGUGACGAAGAGUAUAGUCAUUUUGAUAGGGAAACGGUACCUAACGAAUAAGCACCGGCUAACUCCGUGCCAGCAGCCGCGGUAAUAC